rnacentral:rRNA from 1 species
AGAAUCAACGCUGGCGGCGUGCCUCAGACAUGCAAGUCGAACGCGAAAGUUUCCUUCGGGAAGCGAGUAGAGUGGCGCACGGGUGAGUAACACGUAAGUAAUCUACCCUUGGGUGGGGAAUAACAUCGGGAAACCGAUGCUAAUACCGCAUAAUGCAGCGGCUUCUUAUGAAGACAGUUGUUAAAAGCAUUUAUGUGCCUGAGGAGGAGCUUGCGGCAGAUUAGCUAGUUGGUAAGGUAAUGGGCUUAACCAAGGCAAACGAUCUGU